rnacentral:rRNA from 1 species
GACGAACGCUGGCGGCGUGCUUAACACAUGCAAGUCGAACGGUAAGGCCCUGCUUUUGUGGGGUGCUCGAGUGGCGAACGGGUGAGUAACACGUGAGUAACCUGCCCUUGACUUUGGGAUAACUUCAGGAAACUGGGGCUAAUACCGGAUAGGAGCUCCUGCUGGAUGGUGGGGGUUGGAAAGUUUCGGCGGUCGGGGUUGGACUGGCGGCUGAUCAGCUUGUUGGUGGGGUAGUGGCCUACCAAGGCGUUGACGGGUAGCUGGCCUGAGAGGAUGACCGGCGACAUUAGGACUGGAACAGGGACCAGACUCCUACGGGAGGCAGCAGUGGGGAACGGUGGACAAUGGGCGGUAGCCUGAUCCAGCAAUGCCGCGUGCGAGAAGAAGGCCUUCGGGGUGUAAAGCGCGUCUGGCAGGAAUGAAACGGUGUCCGCUAAUACCGGGCGCUAAUGACGGUACCGGCAGAAUAAGCACCGGCUAACUACGUG